GACGUAGGGCGCGAGCGUUGUCCGGAUUUAUUGGGCGUAAAGAGCUCGUAGGCGGCUUGUCGCGUCGGCUGUGAAAUCCCGUGGCUCAACUGCGGGUCUGCAGCCGAUACGGGCAGGCUAGAGUUCGGUAGGGGGAGACUGGAAGUUCCUGGAUGUAGCGGUGAAAUGCGCAGAUAUCAGGGAGGAACACCGGUGGCCGAAAGGCGGGAU
rnacentral:rRNA from 1 species